GCGUGAAGGCGCUACGGUAGCGCGCGGGGGUAAAGCCCUCGAGGAGCAGGUUCGACUCCUGCAUCAGCACA